GAUCCUGGCUCAGGAUGAACGCUAGCUACAGGCUUAACACAUGCAAGUCGCGGGGCAGCAUGAAGGGUGCUUGCAUCUUUUGAUGGCGACCGGCGCACGGGUGAGUAACGCGUAUCCAACCUGCCUGUUACCACGGCACAGCCCGUCGAAAGGCGGAUUAAUGCCGUAUGUGGUCCUUUGCGGGCAUCUAAUUAGGACUAAAGGUUCGGCGGUAUCGGAUGGGGAUGCGUCCGAUUAG
rnacentral:rRNA from 1 species